rnacentral:lncRNA from 1 species
UUUUUUGCUCCAUUGAAAAAUUGUCGAGAAUCUGAAAGGUGAUCGUGCAAGGUGUAUCAAUUCUCUUCUAGUUUUUACUGCUUUUUUAAUCCACUAGAUUUUCACCCGUGCGAUGCACGGCUAAUAUAAUAAUAUAGAAUAAUAAAAAUUAUUAUGUAAUGAUAACAAAAAAAUUUUCUAAUUAAUUUUAUAUUUUUUAACAAAUAAAAAAAUAUACUAUCAAUCUUAAUUAUAGUACAUAUUAAAGUAUACAAGCUAGAGAAAAAAAAUUUGGACCAAAGUAAAUAUUCAACUAAAAUACAAAAUUCAAUCCUGCUCUAUUAUCUAUGAAUUGGUGUGCAAAACAAUUUACAUUUAUAUAUUGAUGUGCGAAAUAAAAUGAUAACUAAAAUUGAUAUGAAAAAUUACAAAUGACAUUAAUAUUUAAGCAUAUAAUGAGAUCAACUAAACUUUCAUAUUUGACACAAAUUAGAGUAAGCACACAUAUAUUAUGUUCCUACUGUCGCUUUUAAGAUUCAAAAAUAUAUAGAUGUUGGUUUUCAAGAAAAUAUAAAGAAAAAAAAUUUUGUUGCAUGAAGAUGAAAAGUUACAUGAGUGACAGAAGGGAAAAAAAUUACGAAAUGAAAAUUACAGAAGUGACAGUAGGGAAAUAAUAUGUUCUAUUUUAAAGCAUCAAUAUUUAAGGGCGAAGAAAAUUACAGUAGUGAUGUGAGUUUUAAAUUUUUUUCUCUUUCCAAAAAUGCCUCUAUCCUUUUUUACUAAUAUUUUUAUGUCCAGAAAUUUUCAACCAAUCAUUUUAAAUAAUUAACUAAGUAAUAAUUUAUUCCCAAAUAAAGAUAAAUAUUUUUCUUCUCACGCGUAAUAUCCGCACCGCCAAUUCUUUCGCAACAUAAUAUCCAUAAAUUUCUCAAAUAUCUCAACAUAAUUAUAGGUGACUUUGAAAUAAAAUUUCCUUCAUUAUAUGUGAUUUUUAAUAAUAUAGUAAAAGAUAUUAAUUUUUUAUAAAAACGUGAGUUUUGAAUUUUUUCUCUUUCCAAAAAUGUCUCUAUCCUUUUUUACUAAUAUUUUUAUGUCCAGAAAUUUUCAACCAAUCAUUUUAAAUAAUUAACUAAGUAAUAAUUUAUUCCCAAAUAAAGAUAAAUAUUUUUCUUCUCACGCGUAAUAUCCGCACCGCCAAUUCUUUCGCAACAUAAUAUCCAUAAAUUUUUCAAAUAUCUCAACAUAAUUAUAGGUGACUUUGAAAUAAAAUUUCCUUCAUUAUAUGUGAUUUUUAAUAAUAUAGUAAAAGAUAUUAAUUUUUUAUAAAAACGUGAGUUUUGAAUUUUUUCUCUUUCCAAAAAUGUCUCUAUCCUUUUUUACUAAUAUUUUUAUGUCCAGAAAUUUUCAACCAAUCAUUUCAAAUAAUUAACUAAGUAGUAAUUUAUUCCCAAAUAAAGAUAAAUAUUUUUCUUCUCACGCAUAAUAUCUGCACCGGUCAAUUUUUUUGCCACAUAAUAUCCGUGAAUUUUUUAAAUAUCUCAACAUAAUUAUAGGUGACUUUGAAAUAAUUUCUCCUUCAUUAUAGGUGAUUUUUAAUAAUAUAGCAAAAGAUAUUAAUUUUUUGCCAUUAGAUCUUAUCUAAUGAUUGAAAAUAAAAAUAUCUGUUAAUUUUUGUGACAAUAUUACCCUCGCAUUUAUAUCCUAUUUUCUAUCUUUUCUAAAAUAAAAUAUCUAUAUUUGAACUUGACACGUAGAUUAUUUUUCCUAAAGCAGUAAUAUCCGCACCCGCCAAUUCUUUCGCGUGAAUUUCUCAAAUAUCUCAACAUAAUUAUAGGUGACUUUGAAAUAAAAUCACCUUCAUUCAUUAUAGGUGAUUUUUAAUAAUAUUGUAAAAUAUACUAUUUCCUUAAAAAAUUUAAUUUUAUUUUUCCUAAAGUAGUCAUAUUCCCUAAAGUAGUAAUAUCCGCACAACAUAAUUAUAGGUGACUUUAAAAUAUUCCCUAAAAUAGAAAAUCUAUAUUUGAGCUUAACACGUAAUAGAAAAUCUAUAUUUGAGCUUAACACGUAGAUUUUCUAUAUAUUAAAAGAUAUUAUUUUCUUAAAAAAUCUAAUUUUUUUCUAAAAUAAAAAAUCUAUAUUUGAGCUUGACACGUGGCAAACAUAUAAAGCGCCACGUGUCAGCUUUUCACAUAGGGUUCAUUAAGGAUUCUACUUUAGUAUAUAGUAAUAGAAGAUAGAUAAUUUAAAUAAAAUAUCCAAAAUUUUAAAUAUUAGUAGGUAAAUUUGAGAUAACUUUUAUAUAUUUUGCUUUAAAAAAAUAUGAUUUAAUAUUAUAUAUGCGGAAGGUAUUAUGUGAUUGGAUAUUAUAUAGGUGGUGGAUAUUAUGUGUGAGAAAAAAAAUUAAGAUAUGCGAAUAUUAUUUGUGAUAAAAUAUGAUAUUAUGUGGGCGACGGUUAUUAGAAGAUAUGACAUGCAUAUAAAAAGUGAAAUUUGAUACGUACUAUUUGAAAGCAAUUUAGAUAAAAAAAGUGACAAAUAUUUUGUAUUCGUCAGUCAAUUAGAUUUAUUGACUAAGAAUUAAUAUAUUUUAUAAUAAUUUAAAUAAAAUAUCUAAUAUUUUAAAUUUGAGAUAACUUUUAUAUAUUCUGCUUUUAAAAAAUAUGAUUAAAUAUUAUAUAUGUUAAUAUAUUUUAUAAUGUUUUAAAUAAAAUAUCCAAUAUUUUAAAUAUUAGUAGGUAAAUUUGAGAUAACUUUUAUAUAUUUUGUUUUAAAAAAAUAUGAUUAAAUAUUAUAUAUGCGGAAGAUAUUAUAUUAAUAGGGACCGGUAUUUUGGGAAAGAGGAAAAAAUUCAAAACUAUCAUUUUUAUAAAUAGUAUAGAUCAGCAGUUAACUGAAAAUAAUGUAUAAACAUUCAAAAGAUAUAUCUAUAAUUAUAAACACAUACUUGUUAUCCUCAAGUAGUAUCGUAAUCUUUUUUAUUUCUUUACCGUCCUUCCAGUUUUCUUCCAUUCUACUAAUUCCAGUAAGCUUCCCGAUGACAUCUGAGAUAAUAUAAUAAUAAAAUGUAAGAAUCAAUAUAAUAGAUAGACAUAUUAAAAAUUAAAUUUUAAAAAUUAAAUAUUUAAUGCAUAUACUAACUCUUACCUACUAAAUAUUUGUUAUCAGCGACAUUACCAAGUAUUUCAUCAAAA